GAUGAACGCUGGCUGGCUGUGCCUAACACAUGCAAGUCGAGCGGGAAAUCUUUUGUGGAAGCUUCGGCAGAAAGAGAAGAUGGAUAGCGGCGGACGGGUGAGUAACGCGUAGUGCAACCUGCCCUUCACAGAGGGAUAGCCACUGGAAACGGUGAUUAAUACCUCAUAAUGCGAGAAGGCCACAUGGUCAUUUCGCCAAAGAUUGAUCGGUGAGGGAUGGGCCUGCGUCUGAUUAGUUAGUUGGUGGGGUAACGGCCUACCAAGGCGACGAUCAGUAGCCGACCUGAGAGGGUAAUCGGCCACAUUGGAACUGAGACACGGUCCAAACUCCUACGGGAGUGCAGCAGUGGGGAAUAUUGCACAAUGGGCGCAAGCCUGAUGCAGCAACGCCGCGUGAACGAAGAAGGUCUUCGGAUUGUAAAGUUCUGUCCUUAGGGAAGAACGGAGUGACGGUACCUAAGGAGGAAGCCCCGGCUAACUACGUGCCAGCAUGCCGCGGUAAUACGUAGGGGGCAAGCGUUAUCCGGAAUGAUUGGGCGUAAAGAGUACGUAAGUGGAUACGUAAGCGCGAGGUGAAAAGGCAAGUUGGCUUAACCAUUUGUAAGGCCUUGGAACUGCGAAGACUUGAUGUGCAUGGGAGGGAAAGCGGAAUUCCUAGUGUAGCGGUGAAAUGCUUAGAUAUUAGGAGGAACACCAGUGGCGAAGGCGGCUUUCUGGACUGUAACUGACACUGAGGUACGAAAGCGUGGGGAGCAAACAGGAUUAGAUACCCUGGAUAGUCCACGCCGUAAACGAUCGAGCACUAGGUGUCGGGGUCUUUAGACUUCGGUGCCGGAGUUAACGCAUUAAGUGCUCCGCCUGGGGAGUACGCACGCAAGUGUGAAACUCAAACGGAAUUCGACGGGGACCCGCAGACAAGCAGCGGAGCAUGUGGUCUUAAUUCGAAGCAACGCGAAGAACCUUACCAGGACUUGACAUCCCCCUGAACGUCCCGUAAUGGGGACUUCUCUUCGGAGCAGGGGAGACAGGUGGUGCAUGGUUGUCGUCAGCUCGUGUCGUGAGACUGUAGGGUUAAGUCCCGCAACGAGCGCAAACCCUUGUCAUUAGUUGCCAGCAAGUAAGGUUGGGCACUCUAAUGAGACUGCCGGGGACAACUCGGAGGAAGGUGGGGAUGACGUCAAAUCAUCAUGCCCCUUAUGUUCUGGGCUACACACGUGCUACAAUGGCCGGUACAGAGAGAAGCAAGACUGUGAAGAGGAGCCAAACUCAAAAACCGGUCCCAGUUCGGAUUGUAGGCUGCAACUCGCCUACAUGAAGUCGGAGUUGCUAGUAAUCGCGGAUCAGAAUGCCGCGGUGAAUGCGUUCCCGGGUCUUGUACACACCGCCCGUCACACCAUGGAAGUUGGGGGCGCCCGAAGUUGGUCGGGAAAUAGAUUACCUAAGGCGAAACCAAUGACUGGGGUGAAGUCGUAACAAGGUAGCC
rnacentral:rRNA from 1 species